AGUGGAAUUGCUGGGUUAUACGGUAAGUUUGUGUUUAACUUUUUAAGAAACUGCCAAACUGUUUUCCAAAGUGGCUGAACCAUCUUGCAUUCCCACCAGUAAU
rnacentral:pre_miRNA from 1 species